UGCUGGUGUUGCUUUAGCUGCAGGACUUUGCUUGCGGGUGUUUCUGCAGUGAUCUUCUCUCUUGCAGAGGAAGUUCUGCUGAUGUGUCAAACACCUUUCCGAUCCCAGAUUGACCUACUUGAAAUUUGUUGUUGAUUCUCGUUCAGUUUAAUCGGGCCGUUUCUGUUUCAGUUCACGAUUUAGGUUCAGUUUUCACUUUCUUAAGCAAAAUCCGGUAGUCAUGUUCUGAAUUGUACAUUUUGAAAGUCUGUGUUCACAGGAAGCAGCUCGUUUUUUUCUACAAUAGCACCCAAGCAAGGGUUUGAGCUUUUUUUUUAAAAUUUACUGUAUUUUUUUCCUGAAGCAAAAUCUAUACUAACUGCAUUAUGUUAUUUUUAGAUCUCUGAGUCUUCAUACAAAAUCUGAUUACAAAUAAAAGAAUCAUUACAUACAGCCAUUUAAGAGACACUGUGCUUUUUUAGAAACAGAAACACAGGAAGAAACUAUAAAUGGACCCGUUUGUGUGUGUGAACUGGAUGGAAGCAAAGGGCAUUAAAGCGAGACGGAUGAGAAAACUGAGAGAGACCCCUUCAGAACAGGAAAUAAGAAAACUACAUAUCUGCAGCUGAAAACCUUAAAUGUCUUCCUGUCAGUGCGAUGGGCUGCUGUGAGGUUUCUGUGAGGCUCUUUUAUCUUGGUGUGCGGUUGGAACAGCAGCCUUGUAGUGAGAAAGAGGACAGCCGCGGCAGAUUCAGAGGCUUUAACGUCUUUCUCUCAAUCAUCUGAAGUUGCUGCAGAGCGCAACAGUUCUUCCAUUCAAAAGUUAUUUUUAUGCUUCUAAAAGCAACAACGGUGUCAUUUCUGCUUCAAUGAACACAUGGUUGGAAAGCUAAACUUAAUAGCAGUGAUGCUAACAUUUGGACCUUAUCUUGUUCUGUCAUCUGGAAAUGUGCGCACUGAUAUUGUGUUGUAAAAAUGUUUUUUUGUUGUUUUUUUUUUUUGCAGCCUGAAAUCAUCAGCAUUGUAUGGAGGCUCUGUUUGUUGCGACUUAAUAUAAUUUUCUUCAUAAACUUACCCUGGUUUUAAUUAAGCUCCAUAUGACAAAGAGUUUGAUAUUAUGUAGCUGUUGUUAUAACUCGUUCAUCAUUGUUUGUAUCUUCGACAUAUUUUUGCAGUCUAAGCAAAUGAAGCCAGAGAUCAGGUGUUAGAAAACCUAAAGGCUUUCCUGUCUCAGAAGAGGCUCUGGCUCCACCAGAUCACCAACCAGUUCUGAGGAUGAACCUCCACAUCGUCUUCAUGGUGGAAGGCUCUUUUUUUUCUUUACUGAGCAGCUAGCUAUAUUUUCAACAGCAAAAACUGGUGUGUUACCAACACUAAGUGCUUAAUAAACAUGAUUUGAUUUAAAAAUAACUGGACAUAAUGUAUUCCCCUUGUUAAGCUACCAUUUCUCUUUCAUACAUUUUAUUUGUUGUUGGCUUUCAGGGCCCUGUGAUGGACUGGUGACCUGUCCAGGGUGAACCUCGCCGUUCAUCUGAUGGCUGCUGGAGAUGAGCACCACCAGCCCCCCUCACCAUCCUGCAAGGAUCAGCGUGUUCAGAUCAUGGAUGGAAAGAUUUUAAGGCAAAGAAGUCACCCAGAAAUGUUUUUCCACUCCAGGCAUCCGGUCCUAAUCAUCAUCAGUUCUGAUGUCACAUACAUAGCGAGUCCGCAAUGUCUUAAAACUGUUUCUGUAAAUGCAGCGGAUGGAAAUGUUCUGUCGUAGAUCCUCACCGUUCUUAGGAAGGAGAAAUGUCAGUUUGUCUGCAGUAAUACAGGAAUACGGUGACAUUGUAUUAAAACAAUACUCUGUCUUUGGUGAAACAUUUUUCACAUUUCCUCUAAAGUGUACCUAUUGUUUUAUUGUGCUAAUUUUCAUAAGCAUGUUGUCUGCAAACUUUUAAUGUAUUGACAAUUUCUACAAUUCAUAAACAUGACAUAACACCUGUUAGGAACAUACCAACAGGUGUCAUGAAGUGUCAUUCGGUAAAUAAUGACACUUUUAAUGAGAAGUUGCUUUAAACGUUGGAUGACAGGUGUUAUGUUUAUGACAGUGUCAUGUCAGUUUUAUGCACACCCCAACAAAUAAAGUGUUACCAAAAUGGUAAUAUAUUGAAAGCACAA